GAGAAAGGAAAGACAGAGCAGGCCAUCUCUCUCUGCAUCUAUCUCCUGUUCAAUCUUUAGCACCACCAUCUUUUCAUCUCUCUCUCUCCACCAUCGCAACCCUCUCACUGAGCUUUUCAGUCUCUAACCUUCCAAACAGACGCUUGCCUUUGCAUCUCUUUAACUCUUUACCCUCGGCACUACGGCCUUCAAUUUCCUGCAUUCUCAUUUUCUAGUCUUCCGAUCCCACUUGCCUUCUCAUCUCUCAGACCACCACCUUUAAUUUCCCAAAACAUCAUUUUACUUUGUCUCUCCUUCUGAACUUUGAUCUCUCUCUCUCCCUCUCUUCCUCUUCUGGAUUUCAUAAGCCCCUAUCCUUUUACUUCGUUUCUCCUUCUGAGAUUUCAUAUCUCGCUCUCUCUCUUCUGGAUUUCAUAAGCUUACUAUUUGCCUCUGUUACCAAUUAUGUGAUUGAUCCCCUAAUCCCCCAGAUUACCUACUCAAUACAUAGACAAUCUCAACUGGUAGGCUAAAGGGGCGGAGAGAUGAUGAAAAGAGUACAUUAGAUAGAGCAGAGAGGGAGGGAAGAUCCCCAUUAGCAGAGUCAGUUGUUGGCUAAAGGCUGUUGAUGAUAUGAUGCGAUAGAAGAGGAGCAUAGACAAAAGAAUGACAGGCAUGAAAGUCUUGUGUACAAAUUGUCGGUCGCGCUACAGAUUGAGCUAAGCUAUGGGCUGAUGAAAGGCUCUCCACCCACAGCUCAAGAGUCUGUAACGUGACCAACAAUUUGCGCCCAACCCUUUCUAUUGGCGAGUUCCGUUGCUGAGGCGAGACAUGCCCAGAAAGGCCUCCGAUCGCAUACAAGACCAAUCCUAUGGGGCAACCGGAGUGGACGGCAUGGGGUAUCCGAUUAAGUGAGGUGAUUGAACAAGAUGAUGAGUUGGAAGGGAUUGACAACAAGGAUGGAUCCUCAUUGUCGUUAUCUUUACAGAGGCUAAAAAGAUUGUCACUACAAUUUCUCCGGCAGCUGAGCAGUAUAUGCAGCAAAUGCCUCUUGUAUUGCCCAGCAUGUGUUCAUAAUAGAAUGCCAUGCCCUCAGUUAAACAGGGAGCCUCCUGGUGUCUGCAAUUCACGAGGGCUUGUCGUCGAGGGUGAUAAUGUCAUUGAAGACCUUCCAAUAGACUGAGUAAUCUAUUGACAUGGCAACGGGGAAGGGAUUUGACGAGAGAAGAUGGUGAGAACCUUCUCUGUUCCUGACUCUCAUAUUUCUGUUUUAAGGGGACUUACAGUCGACCCUCUCUGUCAAACAUGUACUUAUUGUGAAAAUAAUUGUGGCUGUCAAACACGUAUUUAUUGUAAAAAUAAUUGUGGCUCACUUUUGAUGCACUCUCGAGAAAUUUUAAAGUCUUUCUCUGU